rnacentral:rRNA from 1 species
UGGGGAAUAUUGCACAAUGGGCGCAAGCCUGAUGCAGCCAUGCCGCGUGUGUGAAGAAGGCCUUCGGGUUGUAAAGCACUUUCAGCGAGGAGGAGGGUGGUGAGCUUAAUACGCUCAUCAAUUGACGUUACUCGCAGAAGAAGCACCGGCUAACUCCGUGCCAGCAGCCGCGGUAAUACGGAGGGUGCAAGCGUUAAUCGGAAUUACUGGGCGUAAAGCGCACGCAGGCGGUUUGUUAAGUCAGAUGUGAAAUCCCCGGGCUCAACCUGGGAACUGCAUUUGAAACUGGCAAGCUAGAGUCUCGUAGAGGGGGGUAGAAUUCCAGGUGUAGCGGUGAAAUGCGUAGAGAUCUGGAGGAAUACCGGUGGCGAAGGCGGCCCCCUGGACGAAGACUGACGCUCAGGUGCGAAAGCGUGGGGCAGCAAACAGGAUUAGAUACCCUGGUAGUCCACGCUGUAAACGAUGUCGAUUUUGGGGGUUGUGCCCUUGAGGCGUGGCUUCCGGAGCUAACGCGUUAAAUCGACCGCCUGGGGAGUACGGCCGCAAGG